rnacentral:rRNA from 1 species
CCUACGGGUGGCAGCAGUGAGGAAUAUUGGUCAAUGGACGAAAGUCUGAACCAGCCAAGUAGCGUGAAGGAUGACUGCCCUAUGGGUUGUAAACUUCUUUUAUAUGGGAAUAAAACGUUCCACGUGUGGGAUUUUGUAUGUCCCAUAUGAAUGAGGAUCGGCUAACUACGUGCCAGCAGCCGCGGUAAUACGGAGGAUCCGAGCGUUAUCCGGAUUUAUUGGGUGUAAAGGGAGCGUAGGUGGAUUGUUAAGUCAGUUGUGAAAGUUUGCGGCUCAACCGUAAAAUUGCAGUUGAAACUGGCAGUCUUGAGUACAGUAGAGGUGGGCGGAAUUCGUGGUGUAGCGGUGAAAUGCGUAGAUAUCACGAAGAACUCCGAUUGCGAAGGCAGUUCACUGGACUGCAACUGACACUGAGGCUCGAAAGUGUGGGUAUCAAACAGGAUUAGAUACCCUUGUAGUC